GACGAACGCUGGCGGCGCGCCUAACACAUGCAAGUCGAACGGAGCUGAGAGAAGCUUGCUUUUCUUAGCUUAGUGGCGAACGGGUGAGUAACGCGUGAAUAACCUGCCCUGGAGUGGGGGACAACAGUUGGAAACGACUGCUAAUACCGCAUAAGCCCACGAUCCGGCAUCGGAUUGAGGGAAAAGGAUUUAUUCGCUUCAGGAUGGACUCGCGUCCAAUUAGCUAGUUGGUGAGGUAACGGCCCACCAAGGCGACGAUUGGUAGCCGGACUGAGAGGUUGAACGGCCACAUUGGGACUGAGACACGGCCCAGACUCCUACGGGAGGCAGCAGUGGGGGAUAUUGCACAAUGGGGGAAACCCUGAUGCAGCGACGCCGCGUGGAGGAAGAAGGUUUUCGGAUUGUAAACUCCUGUCGUUAGGGACGAUAAUGACGGUACCUAACAAGAAAGCACCGGCUAACUACGUG
rnacentral:rRNA from 1 species